rnacentral:rRNA from 1 species
UACGUAGGGGGCUAGCGUUGUCCGGAAUUACUGGGCGUAAAGCGCACGUAGGUGGCGACGUAAGUCGGGUGUGAAAGCCCCGGGCUCAACCUGGGAAUUGCAUUCGAGACUGCAUUGCUGGAGUACGGAAGAGGAAGGCGGAAUUCCCGGUGUAGCGGUGAAAUGCGUAGAUAUCGGGAGGAACAUCAGUGGCGAAGGCGGCCUUCUGGUCCAGUACUGACACUCAAGUGCGAAAGCGUGGGGAGCAAACAGG